CGGUUAAUUAUGAAAGUUAGACUUGGAGGAAGUUACUUGUAAAUGGGUUGUUGCAUGUUAUUUAUUGAAUGCAAUGGGGGACUGAGAAAGAAGACUUUUUAAUUGUGAUCUUGCUACUUUCUUUGUUUUCUACUAUUUGUCACAAAAAGCAACUGAUACAAUUAACAGUUUACACAAUGUGUACAUAAUUCCAUAAUUUGUAUAAUCUACACACAUUUAUGGUUAGUGAAAAAUUAAAAUUUCAACAUGUUUAAGCUGCAGCAACAUUAUGUAUUGUUAUGAAUUUACAAAUGGUCUCGACAUUGAGUCAUUAUAAUUGUUUAUAUGAUGGUGACCAGCAGAAUUCCUUGGAACAUAUGCUUUUAGCAGCAUGCAUGCUCCCAGUAAGAUCAUUCUACGUCUAAUAAUGUUGAAAGUUGAAACUUACCUAAGAAUGUCUGAACCUUUCAGUAUUGUCCUUGUUUUGCACACUGUUGCUUGUGCAUUUUUAACUGAUUUUCCCUUAUCCUUGCAACUGAACACGUGAUAAAUGGGUGGCUAACAGGUUAUUUUAGUUGGGGUUUUACUUUGUGUGUCUUUUACAUCACUAUAAAUUGAAUACAAAAAAUCCAUUGUAACUACCAGAAGCUAGACCAUCAGUCUAAAUUAUGCAGUCCAUCAGAAAUAAAUUAUGGAGACUGAUUUGUUAUCAAUGCUAAUGACCAUUGAAGUCUUUAUGUUCAUUGAUCUUGUAUGAAUACUUGGAAGUUUGUUAUUCUAUUCUGUCCUCAUCAUUGUCACUCUGAUGCCCCAUUCUUGAAAUGUGUGACUAAGUUUUGGAGUUUGACGUUCAGGGCUGCAUUGCGAUAGAUGAUAUUACAUUAGGAGAGCCAAGGCUGGGAGAAAUUGCAUAUAAAAAUAUGCCUUAACUUCUAGUUCUGGCAAGUUACUCCUGGAAUCUUCAAAAAUCUGCCAAUAGCCUCUGCCUUCCAGUCCAUAAAUUUCUGCUGUGUCAGCAACUGAGUUAACUGUUGUUGAUGAAAAUUGGAGGGAAACUGAAGUGGCCAUCUGGAAAUUUCUUAAAGCUCAGGCAAUGAUUUACAAUAGGUUAAAGUUGAAGUGGAGGGGAACACACUGUUCAGAGUCAGAUAUUUUAGGUCCAUCCCAUAUUUUGUCAAGUGAUGAAUUAUGUAUAGAAUGCCAAAAGGACUGACGUAUUCAGGGACCUAUUCUGCAAAUUCAUGGAACUUAAGAAUUAACAUGCUGAAUAGGGGUAAGAGAGAAUGAUGUCUUUGAUUGUGUUUUCUCUGAUCUUUUAUAUAUUUUUUUGGCACUACAUAUCUGCAGCAAAUUAGGGAAACUUGACUGUAUAAAUAUGAGCCCUUUUUUUUUUUUUUGUCUUGGGGUCAUAUAUGUUGUUCCAUAUGUUCUUAUUCUUAUUUCUGAGUAUGUUAACUUAAAUAUCCGUGUAAAAACAGUAGUGAGUGAUCGCAUUAAUAUUUGCCAUUUGUUAAAAUUGAGGAUGAGUAUUUCAAUGCUUCUAGUUCAUUGUCUGGUGUUUGAGCAUCUGUAUAGAAUUCUUUCCCUUUUUUUGCCAUUCCUGUCAUCUUGUUGAAUUUGGCAAAUGUACUGGCCGUUAUGCUGCGAAAAAGGAAAUUAAAAGAAUUAUGCAAUUAUGAUAUCACAUUCCUCCAGCUGAAUCAACUCUCAUUAUCUGCUGGGGAAAGUAUGACUUGUAAGUUGGAAGAAAUCUUUAACAACAAAUUGUUUUAUAUCGAUAUUAUUAUUACCACAAUUGUAUUGCAGAACUUCAAUUAUGUUUAUGACCAAAUGCAUAUUGCUGCCCCUGUUAUAUGGUACUAAUCUGAACUUCAUGUUUGCUUAUAUUACUAGAAUCACCAUCAGAGAGGUUUUACCCCUCUACAAACCAGAGGCAAGAAAAGAAGGUUGUGACCUUUACAUGAUUCCCUAUUGUAAACACUUACUUUGUGAAAUCAGUUAUUGUAAUCAUACUUAAGGGUGGGGAUUUCUUUCUGACCCGGCCACAUAAUUUUUCCUUCUUACUCUUUAUUUUUCUUUCACUCAUCUUAAAUUACAGAGGAGGGAGCUAAUAAUACAUUUGGUCAGAAAUGGUAGCAAAGCUGUUGGUUUGGGAAGCUAUGAUCAUGUGUGAUUCAAGCUAGAGGAAGCAGUUUCUCAUGAUAUGGACAUGUUCAAGUUCACUGCAGAAUCACUCAUAUUAGAAGCCUAUGAAGGAAGACUACUUGUACUGUAAAGAUCUGAACAGCCAAUAAUGUUGAAGAACAAAUCCUGAAGGGAAGAUUGACAAAAACUGAGAGAUUUUGAUUUAGAAAGCUAUAACGAUGAUUCAAAAUUUUAUUGAUAAACGUUUUUUAAGCAUGUACCAAUUUAUACAAUUGUCCAUGAGUCGUGAACGAAACUUGAAUGUAUGAGUCAAAAGAAGACUCACAGAAAUAUAAGGUUCAUCUUUCCAGAAGACCAGUGGAAUUAGAGUACAAGAAUGGCCAGAUCAUGAUAGAGCAUCUGAAUAUUUUCAAGAGUAUUAUCAAGCAGUUAACAAAUAUUGAAAUGAAAGUUAAUGUUGAACUUAAGCUUUUUUUUU